GAGAUGAGUUCUCCCUGUCUUUAAGACAGUAAGGGUUGUUUAAGACUAAGACGUAGAUAGGUCUGGUGUGUAAGCGGUGCGAGCCGUUGAGCUAACAGAUACUAAUUGCCCGAGAGGCUUAACUAUACAACGCUCAAGGGUUUUG
rnacentral:rRNA from 1 species